CCUACGGGAGGCAGCAGUGGGGAAUAUUGCACAAUGGGGGAAACCCUGAUGCAGCGACGCCGCGUGAGUGAAGAAGUAUUUCGGUAUGUAAAGCUCUAUCAGCAGGGAAGAAGCAAGACGGUACCUGACUAAGAAGCCCCGGCUAACUACGUGCCAGCAGCCGCGGUAAUACGUAGGGGGCAAGCGUUAUCCGGAUUUACUGGGUGUAAAGGGAGCGUAGGCGGCUGUGCAAGUCUGGAGUGAAAGCCCAGGGCUCAACCCUGGGACUGCUUUGGAAACUGUGGAGCUUGAGUGCUGGAGAGGUAAGUGGAAUUCGUGGUGUAGCGGUGAAAUGCGUAGAUAUUAGGAGGAACACCAGUGGCGAAGGCGGCUUGCUGGACAGUAACUGACGUUGAGGCUCGAAAGCGUGGGGAGCGAACAGGAUUAGAUACCCGAGUAGUC
rnacentral:rRNA from 1 species